rnacentral:sRNA from 1 species
GGAAGAAGCGGGGAGAGACCAACAAUGACCUGUUUCUGGCAGAUGUGUUUUCCUACCAGGGGAAGUUCCAUGAGGCCGCCAAACUGUACAAGAGGAGUGGGCACGAGAACCUCGCGCUUGAAAUGUACACCGACCUCUGCAUGUUUGAGUAUGCCAAGGAUUUCCUUGGAUCUGGAGACCCCAAAGAAACAAAGAUGCUAAUCACCAAACAGGCUGACUGGGCCAGAAAUAUCAAGGAGCCCAAAGCCGCUGUGGAGAUGUACAUCUCAGCAGGAGAGCAUGUCAAGGCCAUCGAGAUCUGUGGUGACCAUGGCUGGGUUGACAUGUUGAUCGACAUCGCCCGCAAGCUGGACAAGGCUGAGCGUGAGCCCCUGCUGCUGUGCGCUACCUACCUCAAGAAGCUGGACAGCCCUGGCUAUGCUGCUGAGACCUACCUGAAGAUGGGUGACCUCAAGGCCCUGGUGCAGCUGCACGUGGAGACCCAGCGCUGGGAUGAGGUGUCGCCCGCAAUUAAAAGAAAUCUGUUUGCAGCACUACAGGAGCCCACGCAAAC